CAAUUAUCCCCUAUAACAGCUUGUGUGUGAUGGAGCAAAGCACUGAAGAGCAGCCUGUGCUCCUGCUUCUGUCACUUUAAUUGGUCAAGGUGAAGACAGUUUAAUCGGGUUUACUCAAAGCUGUUGACAAGCAUUGUACACCCACAUGGACAUCAGUACCUGGCCAGACUGGCAGAUGCCUGGAGCUGGACUGGAAGUUUUCCCAGACUAAAGAAUGCAUCUGGACACUGAGAAGUUUUAAAAAGAAUAAUUAGAACGGAGCUAGUAACCAGAUUAUUUAAAAAAAGAUUGCAUAAGGAAUGCAGUCACUUUUCCCCAUCACACUUUCUGAAAAUAUAAGGAACAACUCUUGAAUUGUGCAGUCAUAGAAAGCAUGUCUAUGUUCUGAUCCAGGCAUUAUCCAACAGAAGCAUAUAUCCAAAUGCCACCUAUCUGUUAUGGACCUUAUCACCUUUGCAACAGUUGAUCAUUUCUUUCUUUAAAAUGUCAAUUUCAUUUGAAUAUCUGUCAUGAAAUUUGGAUGGCAUACAUUUCCUGAUAGGUUUAAACUGAGAUGGAUGUUGUAUUAUUAAUGUAAGCUGAUGUUUUACCUUUUUCUCACUUUUUUUUUGUUAAACUUGCUUUAAAAAAAUAAAAUAACACACUUUCCUGAGAAGUGCAAUUUCCAUAGCUGCCAAGUUCUCCCUUUUUUAAAGGGAAAUUCCCUUAUGCUGAAUGGGCUUCCUCGAGAGAAAAGGGAAAACUUG